UUAUAAAUGACAAACGUUACGAUCGGGC
rnacentral:piRNA from 1 species